rnacentral:sRNA from 1 species
ACUAAACCUGAAGACUUGGAGGCCGAGGGGGGCUUCGACCCAGCUGAGGAGCGAAGAGCUGCUGGCAGCGCCGAUCCCCAGUGCGCAGAGAGAAGAGACUGAAAACCAAAUAUACAGCCAUGUUUCCACGUGAAUCCAUUAUAGCAGAAUCAGAAUAUGCUACUUCUGGAAGGGGCAGAGUUUUGUAACCCUUCCUGUGCUAGAACCAGUGCGCCAUGCUCUUUAUACUCAGUCUUUGUCUUCCCCCAUUUGGUAGAAUGAGAAACCCCCUCUGCUCUGUCCACUGUUGGAGGGAACUCUGGGAUGGGUGUUUGUGGAAAUACCCCAAAGGUUUAGUUCUUAAGUAGAGAUUCUUCUUUCCGAAGUGGGUGUUUUCCAUCCGGAGAUCCUAUCCAAAUGCAAAUAGAUGCCUGUUGUUCUCCUUGGUAUUUUUAGAGCUAGGAAGUGGUGCCUCCUUAGGUUGAAUCCAUUUGCCAGCAUUGAGACCAAACUGGAUUAUUAAUUAUAGGGAGGGCAGAUACCUAUUUUAAGACCUAGAGUUGAAACACCAAGAAUUUGAAAUCUUAAGUUUCUAGCUUUUGUCCUGUUUAUAAUUUCCAUUACCUGGGUACUUAUGGCUGUAAUUAACAGGCGGUGAAGCUAGUUAAUUGCUUUUUCCUAUCCUGAACCCUGCUUCCUCAUCUGUGGUGGAACAGGGAUGAAAUGGGAUGUAGAGUCUACUUUUAUGACCUUUAUUUAGCAUUCAUCAUACAGGGCACUGUUCUCAGGAUAUAGUGUCUUCAUUUAAUUCUCUUCCAGGAAUAUCGCUCUUGCCAUUUUACAUAGGAAACAGUAAUUUGUCCAAGGUUACAAAGGUAUUGAGGGGAGGGAGAACUGAAAUUUAUAAACAGCACCUGGCUUUAGCUCUAGGCUGUACCGUCUGAGCGGAGUCAGCAGCUGGCUGUAACUGAUUUGAAUGAUCUUCAUACAGUUGAUCUUCCACAGAAAAGAAAGCUAAGGAUCUUUGUCUUGAGGACUAGGACUCACACUGGCUGCUCUGCACUUCUCAGUGCUCUUUGCUCAGUCUUCUGGACGCUGGGAUUACAAGCCUGAGUCACUGCCCCACUGAGAAAACCCUUGGGUUUAGCCAGGAAAUCUAUGAAGAAAAUGGGAAUGGCAUUCCAGGAAUUUGUCAGUUAUUCCUAAUGAUCUUUACGCCUGAUUGUCAACCAGGUUUCUGUUUCUCUGAGAAAGACAUCUAAAGUGAAGAGCUUUUCCCCUACCUAUCUCAGUGUGCUGUAAGCAGGAUAACCUUUCUUGGUAAGGACAAGUGUGGCUGUAGUCCAAACUAGUAAAAUAUGAUAUUUUCUUCUUAA